UGGGAUAAACUCAUUUUAUUCAGAAAUUUAUAACUAGUCAAGAUUUGAGCGACAAUACAAACUUCCUAGCGGUUUCUAAUUAUAUGGGCCAUUAAGUCUAUCAUAUGCUGACAAUAGCUGAGAAGUCCGUGGAUCUCCUCGGGAGCGGAGUAGGUGUCCGCCAUUGCUUUGGCCUUGGUUAGCAAUCGGGGAAGUUCUUGACUCCCGCUCAAGGUAAG
rnacentral:lncRNA from 1 species